AUGUGUCGGACGCUGCUCAUCGGCCCUCGUUGUCGUCCUCAAUCUAGCAUGAUGUGUGAAGAUCUGAGACAAAAAAGAAGAGGAAGAAUUUUGACGAAGAGUUGGGUCAUGGGGAACAAAGGUCAUCAGAACAUACAUAACUGUUGCCGAAGCCCUCUUGCUAAAGCUCAAUAUGACACCAUCUGUUUCAUGUCAAAUGCAGGAUAUAACCAACAUAAACACAAUGCUUACAAGGAGAUAUCGGCUCAUUUGAUUGCUAUAUUGGCUUUGGUCACCCUUGCGAGGCUCCUUAUCUUUGAAGCAAGGGGCGGAUGCUCUUUGGACUCAGGAAGACGAACAUGA
rnacentral:rRNA from 1 species